AGCGAACGCUGGCGGCAGGCCUAACACAUGCAAGUCGAACGGACCCUUCGGGGUUAGUGGCGGACGGGUGAGUAACACGUGGGAACGUGCCUUUAGGUUCGGAAUAGCUCCUGGAAACGGGUGGUAAUGCCGAAUGUGCCCUUCGGGGGAAAGAUUUAUCGCCUUUAGAGCGGCCCGCGUCUGAUUAGCUAGUUGGUGAGGUAAUGGCUCACCAAGGCGACGAUCAGUAGCUGGUCUGAGAGGAUGACCAGCCACAUUGGGACUGAGACACGGCCCAAAACUCCUACCGGGAGGCAGCAGUGGGGAAUCUUGCGCAAUGGGCGAAAGCCUGACGCAGCCAUGCCGCGUGAAUGAUGAAGGUCUUAGGAUUGUAAAAUUCUUUCACCGGGGACGAUAAUGACGGUACCCGGAGAAGAAGCCCCGGCUAACUUCGUGCCAGCAGCCGCCGU
rnacentral:rRNA from 1 species